CCAAAGCAGGCUCCAGGCUCUGAGCUAUCAGCACAGAGCCUGAAUGGGGCUCAAACUCACAAAUCUUGAGAUCAUGACCUGAGCUGUACUCAGGCACUUAACCAAUUAAGUCACCCAGGUGUCCCCCUGAAAAUAUAUGUUUGAGAACAUAUGUGAUUAUCUCCUUAGGAUAAACUCCUACCUGCAUGGCUUAGUCCUGUAAGCAUGAGCCUCUUGAUUUCAGCCCAGCUCAUGAUCUCCGGGUUCCUGAGACCCAGCCUGGCGUCCGACUGGUUGGGAUUCUGUCUCCUCUCUCUCCCUCUGCCCCUCUCCCUGCUCCUGCGGGCACUCUUUCUCAUUUUUCUCAAAAUAAAUAAAUAAAUAAUUUUUUAAAAAGGAUAAACUCCUAAAAGAGAAUGUCUAUGUCACAGUAUCAGCACACUUCAAUUGUGGAGACAUUUUGCAGAACCCUUGAAAAUUUUUAUACCAGUCUUCACUCCCAUUAUCCUUUAUGACAGUGUAUUUUCCCGGCCCUCUGUUGGACACUCUCCUCACCUACUUUUACCUUUGCCAAGUUGAAGACACUAAGUUUUAUACCCAUUUUUUAUUCUGUUGGAGAACAAGAAGCAGGAGGCACCGUAAGAAUGUCUGGAAGGAAAGGGACAGAACAGCAAGAAACUGAAAGCAGUUUCAUUCCCAGGACAGAAGGCCGCCUGGACUGCUCGCUCUCUCCAGAAGGACAUAGUACAGGCAUCAGGCCUGGGAUAAGAAUGUUUUGUCUGGUACCAGAUGUACUCAUGACCCAGUAUAGCAUACACUGCAGGUGCACGGCCCGUCAAGAUGCCAGAUACUAUGUUGUAUGUGCUCGCUGUUAUCAGACAAUUUGCAAAAAUAAAAGAGGCUUGAGCCAGGGGGCCCAGGCUUUGGCUCCUGGAGAGUCUUAGCCCCCUGCUUUGCAAUUCUCUCCUCACCACACCUUCAGGCCCUGUCUCUCUACAGCUGGCGCCAGAACAGGGACCUGAAGGUGGCCGUUUGCCACACUGCUGAAAAAGUGCCACAGGAACCGAAUGGAAUUUUGGAGCCGGGAAGCUCAGCCUUCGGGAUUUCUGCAGGUCUGUGCCAGAGACGAUGAGCCUGUCAACAUAUCGACCGACAGUUCGGGUCAUGCAAUGUCCUCCUACAGUCCAUCAAAUACAAAGAGAAAGGGGGAGAUGCUGGAGAACAACAGGCCAGAGGCACCGUAAGAAUGUCCUGAAGGAAAGGGACAGAGCAGCAAGAAACUGAAAACAGUUUGAUUCCCAGGAUAAAAGGCCAUUGGGACUGCUCGCUCUCUCCAAAAAGACUUCAUCCGGGCGCCACCCUGGGGAUAAGAAUGUUUUGUCUGGUGCCAGAUGUACUGAUGACCCAGUAUGGAAAACACUGCAGGUACAUGACCUGUCAAGAGGCCAAAUACUACGUUGUAUGUGCUUGCUGUUGUCAACAAUUUGCAAAAAUCAAGGAGGCUUGAGCCAGGGGACCCAGGCUUUGGCUCCUGAAGAGUCGUAGGCCUCUGCUUUGCAAUCCUCUCAUAACACACCUUUAGGACCUGUCUCUCUACAUAUUCCACUCUCUCAUUUUCUUUAUGUAUAUUAUUACUAAUAUAUGCGUGUGACAUUU